AGCAGCCGCGGUAAUUCCAGCUCCAAUAGCGUAUAUUAAAGUUGUUGCAGUUAAAAAGCUCGUAGUUGAAUUUCGGCAUCAAUUGAUUGGUCAUGCCUUGGUAUGUACUGGUCAUAUUGGUUCUCACCUUCUAAUGAACCAUAAUGUCAUUUACUUGAUGUUAUGGGGAAUUAGGACUGUUACCUUGAAAAAUUAGAGUGUUUAAAGCAGGCUUACGCUUGAAUACAUUAGCAUGGAAUAAUGAAAUAGGACAUCGCAUUCUAUUUUGUUGGUUUCUAGGAUCGAUGUAAUGAUUAAUAGGGAUAGUUGGGGGCAUUAGUAUUCAAUUGUCAGAGGUGAAAUUCUUGGAUUUAUUGAAGACUAACUACUGCGAAAGCAUUUGCCAAGGAUGUUUUCAUUAAUCAAGAACGAAAGUUAGGGGAUCGAAGACGAUCAGAUACCGUCGUAGUCUUAACCAUAAACUAUGCCGACUAGGGAUCGGAUGAUGUUGAUUUUU
rnacentral:sRNA from 1 species